rnacentral:lncRNA from 1 species
GGGCCUUUAUAAGAAGGUAGGGAGCUCUUGUGUGAGGGGACUUUUUGAUAAUAUUAUAGAUUAAGCUUUGGCUCUUUGUGAACGGAAAACCCUUGGAGGAAAGAGUGUUCUCGUAUUCUUUGUGUUCUAUAGAGUCUAUACAAUAAAAUAUCACUCUUUUGUCUCUUUUCAAUUCUGGAUUCCUAUCAACUUGACAUGGUUCAAUAUAAGCUUAAGUGAACUCAAU